UUCAAGUGUACUAGCAGAUAUACACCAAAAACUAGACCAGAGAGCGUUUGUAAGAUUGUUUCUAGAGAGUGCGCUCUCUAACUUCUGCUCUCUCUCCCGUUUUUGUUUUCUUUUAAUCACUUUUAUUAUUCGUCGUGUCGCUGCUGCUGCUGCUGGAGCGAAAAGGCAAUUUGCAAGUCGGAUAUUUCAUCAGACAGCAGAGAGGGGCGAUCACAAUGAGCGGGGAAAUGACAGAGAAGGAGGAGUAGGAGAGGAUUAAACAAAUGAAAAGAGGAUGACGAGGGAGAGGAGGCGGCAGAGGAGGAGGAGGAAGAACGCAUGGGGAAACCUGGAGCGGCAGAGGAGAUGAUGGCUGUGGAGGAUGGCUAUACUGGCCCUAACAGGCUGCCGUACCUUUGCUACAUAUCACCAGCAGCAGCCUUCACAGAGAAACCCAGAGAGGAUGAGAAAUGUAUGACACCCCAAAUGUCCCAGUGUAUGAUUAUUGAAAACAAAGUUGGAACAAUAAUUCUGACAAUGAAUAUGUCCCAGAAUGACACAGAGGAAAACACUCAGGCAG